rnacentral:rRNA from 1 species
GAUGAACGCUGGCGGCGUGCCUAAUACAUGCAAGUCGAGCGAACGGACGAGAAGCUUGCUUCUCUGAUGUUAGCGGCGGACGGGUGAGUAACACGUGGAUAACCUACCUAUAAGACUGGGAUAACUUCGGGAAACCGGAGCUAAUACCGGAUGAUAUUUUGAACCGCAUGGUUCAAAAGUGAAAGACGGUCUUGCUUUCACUUAUAGAUGGAUCCGCGCUGCAUUAGCUAGUUGGUAAGGUAACGGCUUACCAAGGCAACGAUGCAUAGCCGACCUGAGAGCGUGAUCGGCCACACUGGAACUGAGACACGGUCCAGACUCCUACGGGAGGAAGCAGUAGGGAAUCUUCCGCAAUGGGCGAAAGCCUGACGGAGCAACGCCGCGUGAGUGAUGAAGGUCUUCGGAUCGUAAAACUCUGUUAUUAGGGAAGAACAUAUGUGUAAGUAACUGUGCACAUCUUGACGGUACCUAAUCAGAAAGCCACGGCUAACUACGUG